CCCCUUAAAGAUGAAGAAAUCAUCACCUAUCUCCUUGCUGGUCUAGAUUCUAAAUUUGGCCCUCUUGUAACAUCUGUCACCAUGAGGACAGAUGCUAUGUCUCUGAGUGACAUCUAUGCCAUCUAUUGAGUUUUGAAA